GCCCGCCUAGCUCAAUCGGAUAGAGCGUCAGACUUUUACGACUAUCGUUAAGGCGGGAUCUGAAGGCUGCGAGUUCGACCCUCGCGGUGGGCU